UACGUAGGGUGCGAGCGUUAAUCGGAAUUACUGGGCGUAAAGCGUGCGCAGGCGGUUCGUUGUGUCCGUCGUGAAAGCCCCGGGCCUAACCUGGGAACUGCGAUGGAAACUAGCGAGCUGGAGUGUGGCAGAGGGGGGUGGAAUUCCGCGUGUAGCAGUGAAAUGCGUAGAGAUGCGGAGGAACACCGAUGGCGAAGGCAGCCCCCUGGGCUAACACUGACGCUCAGGCACGAAAGCGUGGGGAGCAAACAGG
rnacentral:rRNA from 1 species